AAACCCUGCAUGGAUGUGACAUCUGUCACCCCAUUGAUCGCCAGAUUGAUUUUGGUGAUCUGGCUGGCUAGGCAGGUGUCCCCUUCCUCCCUCACCGCUCCAUGUGCGUCCCUCCUGAAGCUGCACUUAGUUGACAAGGAUGACCUUCCCCGAAUAGAGACUGACCAGUCAAGGGUGUAGGAGUAGCUGUGCUCCCCGGCUAAAACCUUCAAACGACAACAACAACAAAAAAACCUGUAGUACUCAGAUUCACAUUUCAUAGCUCCCAUUUUAAAACCAAAUAUCUUGAUUCUUA
rfam:Erinaceus europaeus unplaced genomic scaffold scaffold00454, whole genome shotgun sequence